AGUAAUGGUAGCUCUCCAGCAUCAGUUGCUGAUGGAAAACAUCUGCUUCUUCCCUGUCCCCUUGAAAGAUUCUCUUGGAAAAUAGGCCCCUGAUGCUAUCACUCAGAACCAGGGACCACUGGAAUAUGUUCUGUGAUCAUCUGGGAUCAAGGGAUUGCUCAGGCAGACGCCAGCACAAAAUAUCACCAGAAAGUAUCCCUCAUCUCUACAACUUCAUGGUGACAGAAGAAGGAAAUGGUUGAAAAUGAAUGAAUCCGAGCAUUUAGGGUUCCAAUUCUAUAAUUUGCUGUACAGUGCAAAAUUAGAAAAUUUUUGUAAAAUUUUGCAAAAUUAUGUAAGCAUAAUUACAUAUAAAACCCAUAAAAGAUGUACUCUCCAUUUCUGGUAUAAAGCUGUGGUGACCUGUUAUCAGAGAGCUAGUGAAGGAUUUUAACCAAUAUGAAUGAAGGAAUUGCUAUGUAAUUUUUCUUUGUUCCAGGGACUGUAUAUUUCUCAUUGUUGCUUCAAAACUUCUAUUCCUUGACUGGCAAGUCUUCAUUUCAGUACCUUUAUUACUUGUUCUUAGUCUACAUUUCCACAUUUCCAGACUUUGAAUCUAUUUUAUUUAUUUAUUUAUUUUUAGACCGAGGCUUGCUCUGUCACCCAGGUUGGAGUACAAUGGCACGAUCUUGGCUCACUGCAACCCCUGCCUCCCAGGUUUAAGCAAUUCUCUCUGCCACAGCCUCCCAAGUAGCUGGGAUUACAGGCACCCGCCACUAUGCCCAGCGUAAAAAUAUAAAUUUUUGUAUAUUUAGUAGAGAUGGGGUUUCGCCAUAUUGGCCAGGCUGGUCUCGAACUCCUGACCUCAGGUGAUCUGCCCACCUCGGCCUCUCAAAGUGCUGGGAUUACAGGCGUGAGUCACCCCGCCCGGCCAUCUAGACUUUAAAUCUAAUUCUGUCGUUAUAGAUGUACAAAAAUAACUGCUGCUGCCUGCCUUCCUUAUUACUGCAGAAAUGGCAUUCUCAUUUUAAAAUCUGAGCUCUCUUUGUUCAUCUGUAUUGUUGCAACAACAGCCUUCUCUUUGCUCCUGGGAGUGAUGAUGUUUUAUUCUUGUGUCUUUGGCACAGAGAGACACACUUUUGCAUCUAACCUGAACAAAGAAUUUCCUUGAGAUAUUUCCUGUGUUUCUGAACCAUUAAACAUCCUCCUAGAAACACUACUUCAACAACUUUAUUUUCCAGUUAAUUCACUUGCGAAGUCAUUAAGGUGAAAUGAAAACAUCAGCAUGAGUUUUCAUUCGUUCUUCCUUCUCACCAGACAUGAAGGGCCUGGCCAUACAGCUUGCUCAGGGGGUUGGCCACUAUACUGGACAUCAAAGCUUAGAGUUAGGGAACACAGAGCUGUUGAGGGCCAAAUGCCAAUGCACCAUGUCAAAGAGUACCAGAUUAAAAACAGGUAGAUAAUCACACUUCAAAUCAAUAGUGCAAAUCAGGCAAGGAAAAUAAUGGUUCCUGGUUUGAAAAAAAUGCAAGAUAAAUACCAUGAGAACUUGGUGAAGAAUUUCCAAAGCAGACAGUGGUGAAGAAACAGAAGAACAUGAACAAAACAACACACAGCUAGGAGACUUAAGUCAUUCAAAAGUGCCUGUACCUGGGAGAUUUAGAAGUGUUUUUGAAUGAGGACUGAAACAGACAUUUUUGUUUCUUUUUUUUUUUUUUUUCCGACUCCUUAAGCAAGAAAACCAUUUCAAUAGUAAGAAAUCAGGGUGAGACCUCUGUUAUAAGAAUUUAAAUUAUAAUUUGGCAAGCCAAUUGGAAAGUACAUUUCAGUAAUAUGGAUAGAGUCAAUAUAAAAAUAUAAUAACUUUUCUGUUCUCUUGUAUCAGCUGCUCUUGGUGAAUUUAAGAUAUGUAAGAAUUCCAUAACCUUUCU
rnacentral:lncRNA from 1 species